AAAACACUCCUCUGAGACCAUCUGCCCUGGAAAUGCAUCCAGAUAUGUUGGUGGCUCUUCUUCCGAGAUCACAGGCCAGCACCCAGAAGUCCCCAGUGUCCGAGCCCUGCAGUGCUGGAAAGAAGCAGAGAUGCUUUUCCUGACAGCCUCAACUCUUUCUAGGAUGCCAAAAGGAACGGGAGGACAGACCUGGGGAAGCUGGGGCUGUGCAGAGCUCCUGGUGAGGCCUUGAGCAGUGUCUCCUGUGCAGCUGCUGAAGGUCCCCAGCACAGCUGAGCCAGGGGAGCUGGCUUGGACGGUGUAACUACACAGGAAGUAUACCUCCUGGGUGCUGGUAAGAAAACUGAGGCUCAGAAUUAACUAAUUCACCCAAGUCUCACAGAAAGUUGGAACAAAGCCAGAAUGGAAACCUCAGCUCUUUGUCUUGAAAGCCAAGCAUCUUUACUUUGCUUCCUUGGAGAAAGGGAGUCCUGCAAAAUGAAACUCCAGUUGGACAGAAGAGUGAAAGGAAGCACAGGGUACAGGAAGUUACUUCCUCCAGGA